UUGUGAUAGAAGCAGAAAUUAUUUGCGUCGGUCUUGUAAAUCGAAGGGUAAAGAGUAACUUCUUUUUAUCA
rnacentral:tRNA from 1 species